UGAGGAAUAUUGGGCAAUGCCCGCAAGGGUGACCCAGCAACGCCGCGUGGAGGAUGAAUGUCGUAAGAUUGUAAACUCCUGUUAGAGGGGAAGAAUAGUACCGGUUGGACCGGUAUAUGACUGUACCCUCAGAGAAAGCCCCGGCUAACUACGUGCCAGCAGCCGCGGUAAUACGUAGGGGGCAAGCGUUGUCCGGACUUACUGGGUGUAAAGGGCGCGCAGGCGGGAUAAAAAGUCAGUGGUGAAAUCCUACAGCUUAACUGUAGAACUGCCUUUGAUACUUUUAUUCUUGAGUUCGGGAGAGAGAGACGGAAUUCCAGGUGUAGUGGUGAAAUACGUAGAUAUCUGGAAGAACACCAGUUGCGAAGGCGGUCUCUUGGUCCGACACUGACGCUGAGGCGCGAAAGCGUGGGGAGCAAAC
rnacentral:rRNA from 1 species